rnacentral:piRNA from 1 species
UAGAAAUCAUACCACUGUUAAUCAGCCA